UUGCCACUGGGGUUCCAUCCAUAGGCCGGUGUCACCGAGCCCAGCCACAUUCCCUGUGUUGCCCUACGUGGAUAUGGGACCACUGGCCGCUCCGUGGCUCUGAAAAGCACAAUGAGAAUAUCUUGUUCAUAGUUUUGUUCACUAAAAGCAGAACCUGGGCAUUCAGAUGGGCUGCACAACCCAAUAUGAUGCACCCCACUGUGGUCACGGUUCAGCCAACAGGCAGAGGUGUUAUCCUCAUGAAUGCCGUACGCUGGUGGAAUUAGUUUCCUCUGAAGGUAUUUAAGGGAGAUGAAAAGUGUUUCCACACAUGCGUGCAAACACCUGUGCAUGGCCAGAGAGGAGACAUCACAAAGGGAUCAUUUUGAAUGGGAAAUAAAUCCCUAAAAGCAUUUGGUUUCCUUUUCUAGGAAAACUACUCCUACCAUUUGUGAAUUAGCAACUGAGAAGCCCUGAACAGUUUCACAUUGCUGGUGGAACUGGAAAACCGUGGCCACAUUGGCAAAGAGUAAGGCAAAAGAGAUACCAGAUCCUGGAGUUGCUGGAGCACGUGAAACAAAGACAUGCCUUGUGGACACAUCUCAGAAGUAAAUGGGAGAUUAGAAUAAAAUGCAGAACUACACAAAAGACUGGAAAGAAAUGCACCUAAAAAUCUCAGUAAUCUGAAAUAGUAUGACAAUUUACCUGAGUAUUUCAUUUCUUUUGUUCGGAAUUUUUUCCCCUGACAGUGAUUUGUGACCAGUUUUCAAUACAAUCUCAAAAUAUAUUUUUGUGUGUCAAGUUUUGGGGACAGGAAUGGAAGAGUGAUUAUGAAGAGGAGGAGGUCCUUCUAUCAUAAGGAAUGUCUCCAUGAGAGGGCUCUGCUACAGUGGAAGAGGAAUAAGAUUUUUUUCUAUAUGUACAUAAGGAGAAAGACAUCUUCCAAACCAAGCUACUCCUACAGCAAUUUUCCUGAAGUACUGGAAAGAGAGCAGCAUUCAGGAACUAAGUUUCAGUCAACACACUUGAUGGCAACCAGCUUAUUUUGUGCCCACAUGAAUACUUCUAGCGAUUAUAUCCUGUAUAUUAGGUACUGGUUUUACAACUAGGUUUCCCAAGUUUCUCAUAUCAAAUGAGACAAUAGGAGACAAGCUAUUCCUUCCAAAAAAUGUUCCUGAUUGGUGCUCAGAAUUGACUUGAUUUUUAGGUUCCUUUUGAAAGGAUCAUCAUUUAAUAGAUCCCAGCUGUCAAUCACGUCACAUUUUGUUAAAAUCACUUUUUCUUUCAAAGUCUGAUAGACUCUUUACUAGAUGUUAAACAUAAAAAUUGAGAAAUACUUGCCUGUAUCUCAAAAUACUGAUAGUUUACUAGACCAAAUUUUAAAAGCUGUAAAACAUGGUUUUGUCACUAAUUAGACUUUGCACUUACCACUGAAAUAUACAAAUAUCGCUGCUACAAAAUAAGAUUUUCUUAUUAAAAACAGAAAUUAAGUUAGAUAUAAUUUGUUAAGGGGGAGGCGGAAGGUAGCGAAGUGAGAGAGGACAACUCUGUGGGAAAAAUCACUGGUAAGUGUUUAAACUAAAUAUGUCUGCUCAGCAAAUAAAUCAGUUCGUUACUACACCAAAGUAACAAUAAAGUAAGUUUGAUCAAAAACAGCUGAGCAGGAGAAUAUUUAUUUCAUUAUUAGUAAUUUUUUUGAAACUAACAUAAAAUCAGAGAGGAAUAGAGAAGAUCUAGGAAUUUUCCCCAAAUCCUCUUAUUAGCCUUAAAGAUAAUAGAUAAUAACGGCAUAUUUUACAAAAUUUACAUUACAGGAAGGUACUUAAUCUACUGUGAAAAGAACUUAAGUGCAAAUGCCUUAACUAGUUUUAAUUCAUUACUGGAAAAUUUCCUCAAGUACUUUGGUUAUAUUCUCCAUGUGUCUGCUCUUUGUUCUUACACUGUAAAGUUAACAUAUUCAAAAGAUUUAUAAAAUGUCUUAACAUAAAUUCAUAGAUGUAGUGGAAAUAAGAAAAGUAAAUAUUGUAUGCAGAUUUUAAGCCUUAAGUUCAUUGGAGAAUUGGAAAUCAAGAUGAAAUUCUCUGUUGCACAUAAGAUGCUCAAUUUUUAACAUUAUUUUUGUAAAGUGCGUUGGAAUAUUUUUUUUCUCUGUGUUUAUCAUUACAAUGCUUGAAAACAUUAACAGAGUAAUGAGACAGGAAACUAGAUGGAUAUCUACUUUUUUUGUGGUGUUAGAAUUUCUUAUCUUUUUAACAUAAUUCCAGUGUACUGUUUGUUUUGCACAUUCCUUUUACAGCAAAACCCUCACAUUUUGCAAAUAGAGACAAAUUGAUGAAAUUGUGGUUUUCUGAAAAUUUUUAUUUUUACCUUCUUCUUGCAAAGAUGCUGAGCAACAUAAACUGAUACUAUUGCUUUUUCAAAUUUAUGACCAGUCAUAGGAAGAGUGGUGGACCAAAACCUGGACUUUCAUUUCCUCAAAUUCCUAAUCUUGUAAUUCAAAUGUUGUCUUUUCUUCAAAUUUAAGGAUACAGUCCUACUACUGCUGCUGGUGCCUAAAAUGCCAUAGCAGGGCACUAACUUGCUAUGACACUACAUUAAUACAACUCCCCUGACUCCUCUUCAUGCUGUUCCCUCAGGUCCUGUCACUGGUUGCCAGGGAGAAGAGAUUGGUGCCAGCUCUCAUUGUUAACUCUCUCUUUACUACAUUAAUUUUACUGCAUUGAACAAAACUACAUUGCUGUAAUGGCUUCUCUACUAAAUAAGGUUUGGAAUAACGCCAGUCAUUAUUCAAAGAGAUUAUAGAGAUUGAAGAGAUUCACAGUCUUCUGGAAACUCACCUUUUAGCCAGAAAGCAUUCAAUCCUGAUUGAUUCCCAAAGGAUUUAUAUGCAAGGACCCUGCAAAAGUGCUCACCAGAAGUGAAUUUACAAGUUAAACAAUAGGCACAGCUAGGAACUGCCCACUUCUGGGUAGUUCUGGCCUCUUCUUUCUGAAAAACCUUGUCAUCUGACUGUACACAAAAGCUCAAAAGACUCAACUUCAAAUUCAUGUAUCCCUUUUUCAAGACAAAACAUUUCACCACAGCACUAUAGCUCAACAAUGAAAGUUUAAGACAUUAUGGUUACAGGUUUCUGUCACACUUCCUCUUAGAAAUUGUCAUGCCUGUAGCAAAGACAGCUGAGGAAGAUGCAUGCUCCCAUUUCAGCAGUUCAAGUUCCACGCUAAUACCCCUUCUUAAAGCCGUGUUGCAGAUGGUUUUGCAACUUAAUGGGCAUGUGUACAUUUCCUUGUUCCCUAUUGGCUGUGCAAUGGAAACACAUAGCAGAGAGAUGGGCAAACCACUGGGAAUAGCUAACUAAAUGGCUAACUAAACCACUGCCCCUUAAGCUGUGGAAGAUUACCUUCAGUGCAGGUAACUCAGUGUGCAGCUGCAGAUUGAGCUCUGGGGGGCAGGAGCCCCAGAGGGGCAAGAGGCUGUGAACUGGUGGCCACUCUUUGCAUAACAAUGGAAGCAAAGGGCCUGUGGCAUUGGCCAUGUGAUCAGGACACUCAGAGACAUGGCAGGAGCCAAGGACUCAGCUGGAACUCCUCAGACUCCUGUGCGCGUAGAAUGGGAGGGUAUAAAAGCCCAGGGCUUUCUUUGUUCAGGAUCCCUUCUCCAAGGCACCAACUCCAGCUCUUAUUCUGUUGUUGCACUGUGAUUUUAUUAUUUUAAGGAUCUAGAUAUUGGAGACUCUGCUGUGGGAAACUUGGGGUCAAUCAGUAGAGAAACCUGGUCUGACUGUGAGAGUGUGGUGAGGGCAGGGAGUCAAGUGGGGCACCCAUUGGUUGCUGGAGCCGUGAAUGCGAAGCAGCUUCAGUCCCAGCGUUGGUGGUGUGAGUGUGACUGCCAGAGUGGUUCUGACGGGUCUCUUACAAUGGUUGCAUCAUAGAUACUGUUUCACGACAUACGUGCACAGAGAAACCUAUUGGUCAGCCUGGUCCAUAUAUGACAAAUUUUAUCCAUAUUUAACUUAAUUUUCAAUGAAACAAAUAAAAAUGCUGUUUUUCAUACCUUCAAUUCAGGAAGAUUGUGAUCUUUUUUUGUCUUAAGAGGGAGAGAAGAGGAUUCUCCACUACC